rnacentral:rRNA from 1 species
UGAAAAGGCCGGCGGGUUGUAAAGCACUUUUAUCAGGGGCGAAAUCUGACUGACCAAUACGGAUGCAGUCUGACGGUACCUGAGGAAUAAGCACCGGCUAACUUCGUGCCAGCAGCCGCGGUAAUACGAAGGGUGCAAGCGUUAAUCGGAAUUACUGGGCGUAAAGGGUGCGCAGGCGGUUGUUUAAGUCUGACGUGAAAUCCCCGGGCUCAACCUGGGAAUGGCGAUGGAUACUGGUGGGCUAGAGUGUGUCAGAGGGUGGUGGAAUUCCCGGUGUAGCGGUGAAAUGCGUAGAGAUCGGGAGGAACAUCAAUGGCGAAGGCGGCCAUCUGGGACAACACUGACGCUGAGGCACGAAAGCGUGGGGAGCAAACAGGAUUAGAUACCCUGGUAGUCCACGCCCUAAACGAUGUGAACUGGAUGUUGGUCUCAACACAGAGAUCAAUGUCGAAGCUAACGCGUUAACUUCACCGCCUGGGGAGUACGGUCGCAAGAUUGAAACUCAAAUGAAUUGACGGA